AUGAGGAAGAUGAGGAUGAGGAGAACAGAAGAGGAAGAGGAGGAAGAGCAGCAGGAGGAAGAUGAGGAUGAGGAGGAGGAAGAGGCUGAAGAGCAGAGAACGAAGAAGGAGCAGAGGAGGAAGAGGAGGAAGAGCAGCAGGAGGAGGAAGAGGAGGCGGCCGAGGCCGAAGGCCCCACCCCGCGCUGCCCCCUCAGCUCGGGCCCCUUCGGGUCCAUUCGGGCCCGUUCGGAACCGCUCGGGGCCCUCAGCCCCGCUCAAACCCGUUCGGACCCGCUCGGGCCCUGUCGGAACCAUUCAGGUCCAUUCGGGCCUUUUCGGAACCGCUCGGGCCCCGCUAAAACCCGCUCGGAACCGCUCGGACCCUUUGGAACCGCUCGGAACCGUUCAGAUCCAUUCGGGCCCACUCGGAACCGUUCGGGCCCGGCUCAAACCCGCUCGGGCCCCUCAGCCCCGCUCGGGCCCUUUCGGAACCGCUCGGGCCCUUUGGAACCGCUCGGAACCGUUCAGAUCCAUUCGGGCCCACUCGGAACCGCUCGGGCCCGGCUCAAACCCGCUCGGACCCGCUCGGGCCCCUCAGCCCCGCUCGGAACCGCUCGGGCCCCGCUCGGAACCGUUCGGGCCCGGCUCAAACCCGCUCGGGCCCUUUCGGAACCGCUCGGAACCGCACUGGACCAUUCGGGUCCUUUCGGAACCGCUCGGGCCCGCUCGGGCCCCUCAGCCCCGCUCGGACCCUCUCGGGCUUUUUCGGAACCGCUCGGCGGGGGAGGGGCCCCGCCCCCCUUCGCCCCCCCGCCCCCCUCCUCCCCCCCCCUUCCCCGCCUUUCCCGGGCCCCGGGGGCGCGCGCUGAGGGGGGGGGGGGGUGGCGGCGGGUCCCCCCCCCCCGCGGGGUUUCCCGGUGGCGGGGGGAAGGGCGCGGCCGCGCUGUCGCCGCCGCUGUCGCGACAGGGCGGCGAUGUCGGGGCCGGGCGGCGCUUUUUGUGCGCCGGGACUCACCGUGAGGCCUGA
rnacentral:lncRNA from 1 species